UAAAGUAUUCUAUCACGGGAACGGAAUGAAAAAAUGUAGAACACCCCUCUCAAGGCGUCCAGACAUCAGCCAGCACGGGCGCUUAGCAACGCACUGCAGCGGAGUCGGAGCCUUCUGCGCAGGCGCGUGGCCACUAGCCUACAUCAGCAGCCCGGGCUGUGUGCCCACACUAGGGACCUCCGAAAGUUUUACCCUGGACAACGUUUACAAUUUGUGGUAAAGAGAAUCAUGGACUCCCCAGAUGUCCAGUCCCCAGUCCCUGGAACCUGUGAGACUGUUAUCUUACAUGGCAAAGGGAUCUUUGCACAUAUGGUUCGAGGUUCAGAACUUGAGAUGGAGGAGCAGCCAGGUUAUCCAGGUGGGCCCGACCUAAUCACACAGUCCCUGAAAGUGGAUACCCUGUCCUACGGUAUCAGAGAGAUGAGACAGAAGGAGAAGAGAUCCCAGCUGUGUGUGAGAGAGACUCGACAUGCUGCUGCUGGCUUUGAAGAUGGAGGAACAGGGCUGGGAACAGCCCUCUGCUGACAGUCAUCAAAAAAUAAAGAUCUCAGUCCAAUAAACCAAAAGAACCGAAUUCUGCCAACACCCUGAAUGAUUAAGAAAAUUGACUCUUCUCUAUAGCUUCUAGAUAAAAACACAGUUCUGCCAACACCUUGAUUUUAGUCUGAUGAUACCUGGAUCUCACCUUCAGAACUAUAGGAUAAUAAAUUUGUGUUGUAUAAAUCACUGA